rnacentral:rRNA from 1 species
AUUGAACGCUGGCGGCAGGCCUAACACAUGCAAGUCGAGCGAGCGGCGGACGGGUGAGUAAUGUCUGGGAAACUGCCUGAUGGAGGGGGAUAACUACUGGAAACGGUAGCUAAUACCGCAUACCAUCAGAUGUGCCCAGAUGGGAUUCGCUAGUAGGUGGGGUAAUGGCUCACCUAGGCGACGCUCCCUAGCUGGUCUGAGAGUAUGACCAUCAACAUGGGAACUGAUACACGGUCCAGAAUCCGACGGGAGGAAGCAGUGGGGAAUAUUGCACAAGGGGGGCAAGCCUGAUGCAGCCAGGCCGCGUGUGUGAAGAAGGCCUUCGGGUUGUAAAGCACUUUCAGCGGGGAGGCGUUACCCGCAGAAGAAGCACCGGCUAACUCCGUGCCAGCAGCCGCGGUAAUAC